rnacentral:miRNA from 1 species
AUACACACACACAUACACACACACACACACAUAUAUGUAUAUAUAUAUAUAUGUGUGUGUGUGUGUGUGUGUAU